rnacentral:tRNA from 1 species
GCACUCGUAGUUCAACGGAUAGAAUGUGGGCCUCCGAAGCCUAAGAUCCAGGUUCGAUUCCUGGCGGGUGCACCA